rnacentral:rRNA from 1 species
UACAGAGGCCUCAAGCGUUGUUCGGAUUCAUUGGGCGUAAAGGGUGCGUAGGCUGUUCCGUAAGUCGGAUGUGAAAUCCUGGGGCUCAACCUCAGAACUGCAUUCGAUACUGCGGGGCUAGAGGACUGGAGAGGAGAGUGGAAUUCACGGUGUAGCAGUGAAAUGCGUAGAUAUCGUGAGGAAGACCAGCGGCGAAGGCGGCUCUCUGGACAGUUCCUGACGCUGAUGCACGAAGGCCAGGGGAGCAAACGGG